AGAGUUUGAUCUUGGCUCAGGAUGAACGCUAGCUACAGGCUUAACACAUGCAAGUCGAGGGGAAACGAUAGAGAAAGCUUGCUUUUUCUAGGCGUCGACCGGCGCACGGGUGAGUAACGCGUAUCCAACCUGCCCACCACUUGGGGAUAACCUUGCGAAAGUAAGACUAAUACCCAAUGACGUCUCUAGAAGGCAUCUGAAAGGGAUUAAAGAUUUAUCGGUGAUGGAUGGGGAUGCGUCUGAUUAGCUUGUUGGCGGGGUAACGGCCCACCAAGGCUACGAUCAGUAGGGGUUCUGAGAGGAAGGUCCCCCACAUUGGAACUGAGACACGGUCCAAACUCCUACGGGAGGCAGCAGUGAGGAAUAUUGGUCAAUGGGCGAGAGCCUGAACCAGCCAAGUAGCGUGCAGGAUGACGGCCCUAUGGGUUGUAAACUGCUUUUAUAAGGGAAUAAAGUGAGCCUCGUGAGGCUUUUUGCAUGUACCUUAUGAAUAAGGACCGGCUAAUUCCGUGCCAGCAGCCGCGGUAAUACGGAAGGUCCGGGCGUUAUCCGGAUUUAUUGGGUUUAAAGGGAGCGUAGGCCGGAGAUUAAGCGUGUUGUGAAAUGUAGAUGCUCAACAUCUGCACUGCAGCGCGAACUGGUUUCCUUGAGUACGCACAAAGUGGGCGGAAUUCGUGGUGUAGCGGUGAAAUGCUUAGAUAUCACGAAGAACUCCGAUUGCGAAGGCAGCUCACUGGAGCGCAACUGACGCUGAAGCUCGAAAGUGCGGGUAUCGAACAGGAUUAGAUACCCUGGUAGUCCGCACGGUAAACGAUGGAUGCCCGCUGUUGGUCUGAAUAGGUCAGCGGCCAAGCGAAAGCAUUAAGCAUCCCACCUGGGGA
rnacentral:rRNA from 1 species